CCCGCGGAGCCGCUCUCGGGGCGGAGACCUUGCCCAGGGGCACGUCAGCGGUCCUGAGGUGAGGCUCCUGCAGAGCACUCUGGGCCGCGUGUGUCUCUCCCUGCGUGGGCAGGCAGUGUCGGUGGCCGGAGCGAGGGUGUUUUCCCAUCGGGGUGAGAGGGAGAGCCCAGGGUGGGCCUGGGGGCGGAAUCGGACUCGGGUUGGGGUGGACUCUUCUGAAGCUGGAGGGGUGCGGGUGGGCAGGGCCUUAGGGAGCCUGAGGGAGGCGCGGUUCCUGGGGGAAGGGUGUGGCGAGGCGGCGGCAGCCGCGUCGCGCUGUGGCGCCCAGCGAAGGGGCAGUGCUGGCCACUCGUGUGGCCCUUUGGCUGCUGGCACCCAGUGAGAGGGGGGAGGCCAGGGACAGGUGGCAGCCAGGCUGCCCACAGGCCUGGGCGGUGGGGGCCCGGCCCUGUGCCUUGGGCAGCCUGGCCCUUGCUGAGGCGUGCUUGCGCGUGUCCGUUGUCGCCCUCACCAGCUGCUGCGGCGGAGAGACGGAGGCCAGCGCGGGGAGCGGAAGCCGGAGCCUGUCGGGAGCGACCCCGGGAAGGCCAGUCCCUCCUGCCGGUGGGAGGCGUGUUGGCGUGCGGCCGUGGCGGGAUCGAUGGCCACCUGGUAGGCGAUGCUGCUGCGGCGGAGAGACGGAGGCCAGCGCGGGGAGCGGAAGCCGGAGCCUGUCGGGAGCGACCCCGGGAAGGCCAGUCCCUCCUGCCGGUGGGAGGCGUGUUGGCGUGCGGCCGGUGGCGGGAUCGAUGGCCACCUGGUAGGCGAUGCUGCUGCGGCGGAGAGACGGAGGCCAGCGCGGGGAGCGGAAGCCGGAGCCUGUCGGGAGCGACCCCGGGAAGGCCAGUCCCUCCUGCCGGUGGGAGGCGUGUUGGCGUGCGGCCGGUGGCGGGAUCGAUGGCCACCUGGUAGGCGAUGGUAAGCGGCAGUGGCCUGCGCCAAGGUAGCCCCCGGGGGCGGUGUGUGGCGCCCGGACCCGCACCCUCUGCUCCCGGGGGUGGAGCUGACCUGCUUGCCCGCGGUUGGGCUCGGGAGCCUGCGGGCCGCGGCCAGGAGGGAGCUGGCUGGCCGUCCCGGCGGUGGGGGCUGUGGCGGUGGCCGUCCCGCGGGUGUGCCCGUGCUCGGAUCGAUGAUGACACCCACAAACGCAUUCCUUGGAAAAUCUGAACAAAAUGAGUGAGAACUCACUACCGUCUCCUCAUCGCAAACUGAGGUCCGGCACGUGGCUCCCACAGGGGCCGUCGGGGGAGGGUCCCGUUGCCUUGGCUCCCUUGGGUGCGUGCAGCCCUGGGGCGCAGGUGGGAGGCAGGCAGGCCUCCGGUGGCCC
rnacentral:lncRNA from 1 species